rnacentral:rRNA from 1 species
GGAUGAACGCUGGCGGCGUGCUUAACACAUGCAAGUCGAACGAAACACCUUAUUUGAUUUUCUUCGGAACUGAAGAUUUGGUGAUUGAGUGGCGGACGGGUGAGUAACGCGUGGGUAACCUGCCCUGUACAGGGGGAUAACAGUCAGAAAUGACUGCUAAUACCGCAUAAGACCACAGCACCGCAUGGUGCAGGGGUAAAAACUCCGGUGGUACAGGAUGGACCCGCGUCUGAUUAGCUGGUUGGUGAGGUAACGGCUCACCAAGGCGACGAUCAGUAGCCGGCUUGAGAGAGUGAACGGCCACAUUGGGACUGAGACACGGCCCAAACUCCUACGGGAGGCAGCAGUGGGGAAUAUUGCACAAUGGGGGAAACCCUGAUGCAGCGACGCCGCGUGAGUGAAGAAGUAUCUCGGUAUGUAAAGCUCUAUCAGCAGGGAAGAAAAUGACGGUACCUGACUAAGAAGCCCCGGCUAACUACGUGCCAGCAGCCGCGGUAAUACGUAGGGGGCAAGCGUUAUCCGGAAUUACUGGGUGUAAAGGGUGCGUAGGUGGUAUGGCAAGUCAGAAGUGAAAACCCAGGGCUUAACUCUGGGACUGCUUUUGAAACUGUCAGACUAGAGUGCAGGAGAGGUAAGCGGAAUUCCUAGUGUAGCGGUGAAAUGCGUAGAUAUUAGGAGGAACAUCAGUGGCGAAGGCGGCUUACUGGACUGAAACUGACACUGAGGCACGAAAGCGUGGGGAGCAAACAGG